GAUGAGCGCUGGCGGCGUGCCUAAUACAUGCAAGUCGAGCGAACGGACGAGAAGCUUGCUUCUCUGAUGUUAGCGGCGGACGGGUGAGUAACACGUGGAUAACCUACCUAUAAGACUGGGAUAACUUCGGGAAACCGGAGCUAAUACCGGAUAAUAUUUUGAACCGCAUGGUUCAAAAGUGAAAGGCGGUCUUGCUGUCACUUAUAGAUGGAUCCGCGCUGCAUUAGCUAGUUGGUAAGGUAACGGCUUACCAAGGCAACGAUGCAUAGCCGACCUGAGAGGGUGAUCGGCCACACUGGAACUGAGACACGGUCCAGACUCCUACGGGAGGCAGCAGUAGGGAAUCUUCCGCAAUGGGCGAAAGCCUGACGGAGCAACGCCGCGUGAGUGAUGAAGGUCUUCGGAUCGUAAAACUCUGUUAUUAGGGAAGAACAUAUGUGUAAGUAACUGUGCACAUCUUGACGGUACCUAAUCAGAAAGCCACGGCUAACUACGUG
rnacentral:rRNA from 1 species